UUUAUCUGCACGAAUACCCCGUGCUACCAGAAUGGCUGUCUCAGUACUUCGCCUGACAGUUGUCCUGGGACUGCUUGUCUUAAUCCUGACCUGCUAUGCAGACGACAAACCAGACAGGCCAGACGACAAGCCAGACGACUCGGGCAAAGACCCAAAGCCAGACUUCCCUAAAUUCCUAAGCCUCCUGGGCACAGAGAUCAUUGAGAAUGCAGUCGAGUUCAUCCUCCGCUCCAUGUCCAGGAGCACAGGAUUUAUGGAAUUUGAUGAUAAUGAAGGAAAACAUUCAUCAAAGUGACAUCCUCAGCCAGAAGAGGUCUGCAUGCAGCACAAAGAAUUUUAAUAAUACAGCUAGCUCACAGUCUUGAUGCAGAAGAUAUGCAUGCAUAACCAACUAAACAUAUUCAGCAUGGUACAGCAUAACAGAGGCACGGACAUGGGAACUUGGGAACCAGCACAAAGAACCAUUCAUGCUCCCUCGGAAAUCUGGAAAGAUUUCUCUGAUGUAAUAAUCUUUGAUCCAUGACUUGAUGGAUGAUAAAGGAUUUGAAGACAUGGAGAAGGAGAAGGAAGGGCAUUUCAACCACAGAAGAAAGCUUACACCGAAACUCAGACUAUGGCAAUGCUUGACAUUCAAGGAUAGCCUUAUAAUCCUUCAAACUUACCUACCUUUUUAAGAAACAGAUUUCAUUAGGAUACCUUCCAUGCUUGGUCCUGCAUAAACGUUACCUCAUUGAAUCCUCAUACUUAGUACAAAAAUUAGAUAUGAUUAUUCCCUUUUGAAAUGAUGCAAUUGAGAAUCUGACAAGAUCACCCCGCUGAGUAACGCUGGAGCCAAACUUGAACAAAAGUCUGUGUGACUGAUUUCCUUUUGUAUUUAUUUUGAGAGUGAGAGGAAUUACUUUCUUUUUAAAAAAAAUUAAUUUUAUUUUAUGUUCUGGGAUACAUGUGCAGGACAUGCAGGUUUGUUACAUAGAUAAACGUGUGCCAUGGUGGUUUGCUGUAUCUAUCAACCCAUUACCUAGGUGAGAGGAAUUACUUUUUAAUGUGUACUAAUAGACAAAAUGUUUUCUUCAAAAUUUAGAUCCAAAAAUUAUUAAAGUGGCAUAUGUUACCAUGUGAGAGGGAAAAAUGAGGGGAAUAUGGAAAUGUGUAUAUACUUCUAAAAGUUAACAAUCUCCCACACUAAUCCCAUUAUUCCCAAACCAGCCAUAUCAGCAACCAAUAUUGAUGCUGUUGUCCCUGCCUGUUCAAACAUAUCCAAACAUAUUCACAUGUAGAGUGGGGUUUGGAUGAGUGCUUUACUCUGCAGCUUGACUGUCAUUGAAUAAUUUCUCAUGGCAUUUAGUUUAGGUAAAGAGAUAGAAAUCUUUAAAAAGCUAUUCAAUAUCUCAUUAUUUCCCCAUUGAUAGACUUUCAUAUUGCUUCUAUUUUUUCAGCUUUUCAAAGGAUUCUGCAAUAAACAAGCUUAUAUGUAUAAGCACAUGCACUAAUAUUUAUAUAUAAAUAUUUUUAUUUAAUGUUUUUAUAAAAGGUUUUCAAAAAUUGAAUUGCAAGAUCAAAGGGCAUUUUAAAAAAUGCUAAUGGACACUGUGAAAAAGCCUUCAAAAUGUAGCCACUCCCUUAUUGGCCCAAAUGGACACUUUAUGGACUCACAGCAUAUAAGUAAUUUUCUAAACUUAUAACUGAUGUACAAAAACUGCAUGCACUUAAAGUAUACACUUAAAGAAUUUAAACAUAUGUAUAUACUCCCAAAACCACACAAUUUAAAUACUGAACAACCUUGGAGCUCACAAAUAAAUGGGAGAUACAAAUAAUCAUCAAAUAAUCCUACAUAAACCUAUAAUUAUGUUUUGAGAGACUUGCUCGGGAAGGAAGGAAGAUGGUUCUCUUGGAAGCUGUCACAAAUGUGUAUCAACUGGGUGAGGGAAGGUUCCUAAGGAAGGGAGACAUGUGCUGAGAUCUCAAAAGAGAAAUAAUAAAGUGGUUGAAUAGGACAAAAUUCAUAAGGCAAUGAAGGAGAAGAGGCAUUUAUAGUUGAGUGAAUGGCAUUUGCAAAAGCCCUGUGCUAGGUAUACUGUGCUCUAGCCAUGAAGAAACGUCAAGGUGGCUGGAAAGCAAAUAAGAAGAAAGAAAGUAAGUCUUAUGGGACCUCAUAGGUUAUGGUUAGGAUUUUAUUCUUAAAUCCAAGAACAACGGAAAGCCACCAAAGGGUUUUGAGCAUUGGAAAACGUAUGAUCAUUGUUGCAUUUUAAAAAUAUCAGUUGGCUGUUGUUCAGGCUAGACGGAGGGGUCCAGAGUAAAGCAAGAAGCCAGCCAAAAGCUCUUGAGCAAGGAAGGGUCAAUGCAGACAGAACCAUGUGGAAGGAUUCAAGAGAAUAUUAAGACAUUAGGUUGUCAGGACAUAGUGAUUAGUUCAAUAUGACGUGUCAGGGAGAGGGAAGUAUCAGGAAUGACUUGUAGGAGUCUGACUAAUGCAAGUGGAUAUGGUUGCAUAUGCAGUGUUGCCACUCAGGUAUAUGGAGAACAUUGGACACAAAAUUUCCCAAGGCUUUUCUGGGCUCUUAGGAUAAAUACAGGGCCAUGACCAUGACACCUAAUGCAUGGUUUGACCUUGGCUUGUGUCCCUGUGCUUCUGCUGCCACCUGUGCACUGAAACACAGGUGAUGUUUCAGUUCUUUGAAGAAGCCAAGUUCUCCUUAUCCUCAGGAUAUUCAUGCACUUAGUACCUUCCACACAGAAUAUUAUUUGGUUAAGAUGGGUUCUUCCAACCUCAAGUCCCAACUUGGCAUGUCCAUAGAAAUGACCUAAAAUAAACAGGUAAUCUCUUAUCACUAUGACCUUUCUUAGGAUCCUAUUCUUUUCCUUUAUUGUUAUUAUCAUAACUUAUAAUUAUCCUUUUACCUAUGUUUAUUUGUGUGGUUUCUAUCUCUCCCUUCACACUGUAAAAUCUAUGGAGAUAUGGGACAUGACAAUUUAUUACUGUAUGCUUCCUGUCCAGCAAAGAUCCUGCAACCAAUAUUCAAUAAUUAUUUGCUGAAUCGAAAAUAUAUGGAGGAAACAAUAAAUGACCAAUAGCUGUCACUGUUAUUAUGGUCAUUGUCAGUAUCAGAAAUCAAGUUCUCAUUUGAUAAUGAGACAGUUAAGGACAGAACAAAGAAUGCACCAUUUAACAAUGCUUGAAAUGAAGUCAGAGGUAGUUACUAGAAAGGGGGGAGCAUCAGGUAGUUGCCAUUUAGUUGUGAAUCACCAGUGAAAAAUUUAAUGCGAUAGAAGGUGCUGAUAUUCCUUAUUAUCUACCUUGCAUAUAUACACAAAUGUUUUCCUUGAUUUGGCUAAUAACCUAUGAGCGCCCUCUUCUGUCUUUAAUCUGCCUCAAUAGCCUGCGAGCUCUUCAUCUGGUUGCUUUCUAAAAUAA